GAGGGUAUAGCUCAGUGGUAGAGUGGCAUGAGGUCCUGGGUUCAAUCCCCAGUACCUCCA
rnacentral:tRNA from 1 species